UACGUAGGGGGCAAGCGUUGUCCGGAUUUAUUGGGCGUAAAGCGCUCGCAGGUGGUCCGAUGCGUCGUGCGUGAAAUACCCCGGCUCAACUGGGGGGCGUCGUGCGAUACGGUCGGACUGGAGGCCAGUAGGGGGAUGCGGAAUUCCGGGUGUAGUGGUGGAAUGCGUAGAGAUCCGGAGGAACACCAGCGGCGAAGGCGGCAUCCUGGACUGGUCCUGACACUCAUGAGCGAAAGCGUGGGGAGCGAUCCGG
rnacentral:rRNA from 1 species